GAUGAACGCUGGCGGCGUGCCUAAUACAUGCAAGUCGAGCGAACAGACGAGGAGCUUGCUCCUCUGACGUUAGCGGCGGACGGGUGAGUAACACGUGGAUAACCUACCUAUAAGACUGGGAUAACUUCGGGAAACCGGAGCUAAUACCGUAUAAUAUAUUGAACCGCAUGGUUCAAUAGUGAAAGACGUUUUUUCUUUCACUUAUAGAUGGAUCCGCGCCGCAUUAGCUAGUUGGUAAGGUAACGGCUUACCAAGGCAACGAUGCGUAGCCGACCUGAGAGGGUGAUCGGCCACACUGGAACUGAGACACGGUCCAGACUACUACGGGAGGCAGCAGUAGGGAAUCUUCCGCAAUGGGCGAAAGCCUGACGGAGCAACGCCGCGUGAGUGAUGAAGGUCUUCGGAUCGUAAAACUCUGUUAUUAGGGAAGAACAAAUGUGUAAGUAACUAUGCACGUCUUGACGGCACCUAAUCAGAAAGCCACGGCUAACUACGUG
rnacentral:rRNA from 1 species